rnacentral:rRNA from 1 species
CCCUUAGAGUUUGAUCCUGGCUCAGACUGAACGCUGGCGGCAUGCCUAACACAUGCAAGUCGAACGGCAGCGCGACCCGCAAGGGUUGGCGGCGAGUGGCGGACGGGUGAGGAAUGCAUCGGAAUCUACCCUGUCGUGGGGGAUAACCAACCGAAAGGUUGGCUAAUACCGCAUACGACCGUGAGGUGAAAGCGGAGGACCGUAAGGCUUCGCGCGAUUGGAUGAGCCGAUGUCGGAUUAGCUAGUUGGCGGGGUAAGAGCCCACCAAGGCGACGAUCCGUAGCUGGUCUGAGAGGAUGAUCAGCCACACUGGGACUGAGACACGGCCCAGACUCCUACGGGAGGCAGCAGUGGGGAAUAUUGGACAAUGGGCGCAAGCCUGAUCCAGCAAUGCCGCGUGUGUGAAGAAGGCCUUCGGGUUGUAAAGCACUUUUAUCGGGAGCGAAAAGCGCGGGGUUAAUACCCCUGCGUCAUGACGGUACCCGAUGAAUAAGCACCGGCUAACUUCGUGCCAGCAGCCGCGGUAAUACGAAGGGUGCAAGCGUUAGUCGGAAUUACUGGGCGUAAAGCGUGCGUAGGCGGUUUCCUAAGUCCGUUGUGAAAGCCCUGGGCUCAACCUGGGAAUGGCAGUGGAUACUGGGGAGCUGGAGUGCGGUAGAGGAGGGUGGAAUUCCCGGUGUAGCGGUGAAAUGCGUAGAGAUCGGGAGGAACAUCAGUGGCGAAAGCGACCCUCUGGACAGCACUGACGCUGAGCACGAAAGCGUGGGGAGCAAACAGAUAGAUACCCUGGUAGUCACGCCCUAACGUGCGAACUGGAUGUUGGGCUCACUCGGAGCUCAGUGUCGAGCUACGCGUAAGUCGCCGCCUGGGGAGUACGCUCGCAGAGUGAACUCAAAGGAUU